CACGUAGGGGGCGAGCGUUGUCCGGAUUUAUUGGGCGUAAAGAGCUCGUAGGCGGCUCAGUAAGUCAGGUGUGAAAACUCCAGGCUCAACCUGGAGACGCCACCUGAUACUGCUGUGGCUAGAGUCCGGUAGGGGAGCAUGGAAUUCCUGGUGUAGCGGUGAAAUGCGCAGAUAUCAGGAGGAAUCACCAGUGGCGGAAGGCGGUGCUCUGGGCCGGAACUGACGCUGAGGAGCGAAAGCGUGGGGAGCGAACGGG
rnacentral:rRNA from 1 species